GAUGAACGCUGGCGGCGUGCCUAAUACAUGCAAGUCGAGCGAACAGACGAGGAGCUUGCUCCUCUGACGUUAGCGGCGGACGGGUGAGUAACACGUGGAUAACCUACCUAUAAGACUGGGAUAACUUCGGGAAACAGGAGCUAAUACUGGAUAAUAUAUUGAACGGCAUGGUUCAAUAGUGAAAGACGGUUUUGCUGUCACUUAUAGAUGGAUCCGCGCCGCAUUAGCUAGUUGGUAAGGUAACGGCUUACCAAGGCAACGAUGCGUAGCCGACCUGAGAGGGUGAUCAGCCACACUGGAACUGAGACACGGUCCAGACUCCUACGGGAGGCAGCAGUAGGGAAUCUUCCACAAUGGGCGAAAGCCUGACGGAGCAACGCCGCGUGAGUGAUGAAGGUCUUCGGAUCGUAAAACUCUGUUAUUAGGGAAGAACAAAUGUGUAAGUAACUAUGCACGUCUUGACGGUACCUAAUCAGAAAGCCACGGCUAACUACGUG
rnacentral:rRNA from 1 species